GAUGAAGAACGCAGCGAACUUCGAUAAGUAAUGUGAAUUGCAGAAUUCAGUGAAUCAUCGAGUCUUUGAACGCACAUUGCGCCCCCUGGCAUUCCGGGGGGCAUGCCUGUCCGAGCCUCAUUGCUGCCCUUCAAGCCCGGCUUGUGUGUUGGGUCGUCGUCCCCCCCGGGGGACGGGCCCGAAAGGCAGCGGCGGCACCGCGUCCGGUCCUCGAGCGUAUGGGGCUUUGUCACCCGCUCGAUUAGGGCCGGCCGGGCGCCAGCCGGCGUCUCCAACCUUCUAUUUUACCAGGUUGACCUCGGAUCAGGUAGGGAUACCCGCUGAACUUAAGCAUAUCAAUAAGCGGAGGA
rnacentral:misc_RNA from 1 species